rnacentral:rRNA from 1 species
GACGGAAGGUGCAAGCGUUGCUCGGAAUCACUGGGCGUAAAGGGUGCGUAGGCGGCCGUGCAAGUCUGGCGUGAAAGCCCCGGGCUCAGCCCGGGAAGUGCGCUCGAAACUGCGCGGCUCGAGUGCCGGAGGGGAGAGUGGAAUUCCUGGUGUAGCGGUGAAAUGCGUAGAUAUCAGGAGGAACACCGGUGGCGAAGGCGGAUCUCUGGGCCAUUACUGACGCUGGGGAGCGAAAGCGUGGGAGCGAACGGGG